UACGUAGGGGCCUAGCGUUGUCCGGAAUUAUUGGGCGUAAAGAGCUCGUAGGCGGCCCAACAAGUCGGAUGUGAAAUCUCAAGGCUCAACCUUGAAAUUGCAUCCGAUACUGAUGGGCUUGAGGCAGGUAGGGGAAGGUGGAAUUCCUGGUGUAGCGGUGAAAUGCGCAGAUAUCAGGAGGAACACCGGUGGCGAAGGCGGCCUUCUGGGCCUGUACUGACGCUGAGGAGCGAAAGCGUGGGGAGCAAACAGGAUUAGAAACCCCCGUAGUCC
rnacentral:rRNA from 1 species